rnacentral:rRNA from 1 species
GAUAAACGCUGGCGGUGUACAUAAGACAUGCAAGUCGAACGGGAGAAGACAGGAAGAUUUAUCUACUUGUUGGACACCGUGGCGGAUGGGUGAGUAACACGUAAGCAACCUGCCUAUAAGAGGGGAAUAACAGUGAGAAAUUACUGAUAAUACCGCAUAAGCUGGAGGUAUCGCAUGAUACAUUCAGAAAAGAUUUAUCGCUUAUAGAUGGGCUUGCGUCUGAUUAGCUAGUUGGUGAGAUAACAGCUCACCAAGGCGACGAUCAGUAGCCGGAUUGAGAGGUUGAACGGCCACAUUGGGACUGAGACACGGCCCAGACUCCUACGGGAGGCAGCAGUCGGGAAUAUUGCACAAUGGAGGAAACUCUGAUGCAGUGACACCGCGUAUAGGAAGAAGGUCUUAGGAUUGUAAGCUAUUGUUGUGNGAGAAGAAAA